rnacentral:rRNA from 1 species
GAGACUCUGUGCGCGUGCAUAUCAAUAAGCGGAGGAAAAGAAACUAACAAGGAUUCCCUUAGUAACGGCGAGUGAAGCGGGAAGAGCUCAAAUUUGAAAUCUUCAAGGUUUUACCUUGACGAAUUGUAGUUUAAAGAAGUGUUUUCUGUUGGAGUUUUGGUAAAAGUUCUUUGGAAUAGGACAUCAUAGAGGGUGAGAAUCCCGUAUUUGACCAUUAUUUCCAGCUUUGUGAUACACUUUCAAAGAGUCGGAUUGUUUGGGAAUGCAGUCCAAAAUGGGUGGUAAAUUUCAUCUAAAGCUAAAUAUUGGCGAGAGACCGAUAGCGAACAAGUACCGUGAGGGAAAGAUGAAAAGAACUUUGAAAAGAGAGUUAAACAGUACGUGAAAUUGUCAAAAGGGAAGCGUUUGACACCAGUGUUGUUUUCUCGAAAAUCAAUUAAAAAAGGCCGGAUUUUGUGUUGUAUUGACCUUAAAAGCUUUCUUCACUCUUUUCUUGUCUUUUUUAAUGCACUUUUCGUUUAACAAGUCAACAUCAGUUUCUUUUGUUGUAAAAGGGUCAUUGGAAGGUGGCUUUCUUUUCGGAGAAAGUGUUUAUAGCCUUUGAUCUCUGCAACCGGAGAGACUGAGGUCUGCAGCGUAGACUCUUCGGGGUUAAAUACAUUUGUGCUAAGCUAUAGCUUUUUAUAGACAACUUGUUGACUAUAUUUAGUCUUGUGGCUUACUCGCUUAUGCUGUUUUACCUACGCUUAGGAUGUUGAUCUGUAGUGCGUGCGC